CCUACGGGGGGCAGCAGUGGGGAAUAUUGGACAAUGGGCGAAAGCCUGAUCCAGCCAUGCCGCGUGUGUGAAGAAGGCCUUUUGGUUGUAAAGCACUUUAAGCGGGGAGGAGGGCUCUGUGGUUAAUACCCAUAGAAGUCGGACGUUACCCGCAGAAUAAGCACCGGCUAACUCUGUGCCAGCAGCCGCGGUAAUACAGAGGGUGCGAGCGUUAAUCGGAAUUACUGGGCGUAAAGCGCGCGUAGGCGGCUUGUUAAGUCGGAUGUGAAAUCCCUGGGCUCAACCUAGGCAUUGCAUACGAUACUGGCAAGCUAGAGUAUGGGAGAGGAAGGUAGAAUUCCAGGUGUAGCGGUGAAAUGCGUAGAGAUCUGGAGGAAUACCGAUGGCGAAGGCAGCCUUCUGGCCUAAUACUGACGCUGAGGUGCGAAAGCAUGGGGAGCAAACAGGAUUAGAUACCCCAGUAGUC
rnacentral:rRNA from 1 species